rnacentral:lncRNA from 1 species
AGCAUUAGGGUCCAUGUGACUAGGGAAAGCAUUAGGGUCCAUGUGACUAGGGAAAGCAUUAGGGUCCAUGUGACUAGGGAAAGCAUUAGGGCCCAUGUGACUGGAGAAAGCAUUAGGGUCCAUGUGACUAGGGAAAAGCAUUAGGGGUCCAUGGUGACUAGGGAAAGCAUAGGGUCCAUGUGACUAGGAAAGCCAUUAGGGUCCAUGUGACUAGGGAAAGCAUUAGGGUCCAUGUGACUGGGAGAAAGCAUUAGGGUCCAUGGACUAGGGAAAGCAUUAGGGUCCAUGUGACUAGGAAAGCAUUAGGGUCCC